rnacentral:lncRNA from 1 species
GUAAGCAUCAUGUAUAGAAGAAAAAUUGAAUGUUCACUAUGAUCACAACAAAAAGGGUAGCAACACUACCGACGUUCAGCUAUACAUUUUCCCCUCGUCUCUCUGAACAAAGGAAGGAUGUCCAGAUCUUACAUGGGUUCCACAUAAAUAGCAAAUCCUCACACACAACACACAAACAAGUACCGCUAACACGUAUCAAUAUAUCAAGUCAAACCAUGAGUUACUACUCCCUUGCCAUUACAUCCGCAGGAAGGCUGCAGUGCGUGGGGCGCCCGAAACCGAAUCUGAAGUAACUGCAGUUCCCUGAUCUCCCGUGUUAAUCCCAAAAGCCUGAACUACUUGCGAUCAUCCCAACCAAACCCCCUCCACGCACCCAGACCUCUGGACCAGAAGACCCGGACUGCUGUAGCGCAGAAUGCACUACUUUCUUCAACUCCAGCUU